AGUUGCAGCGGCCUGGCCACCUCAGGAGCACGCUGUCUCUUCCCGACGUGCAGCCCGGGGCCCGGCCCUGUCCCCGGGUGACUGCUCCCCGGCAGGACUGCACAUCUGUGGCGGCAGGCCCAGCUCAGGGCUCGGGGGAGGUUCGGCCUUGCCUUCAAAGAGCUCCCUCUCCUGCAGGGCGAGCGCAGAGCGGCGGGCGAGACCACACUGCGUGUGCUGAGGGCGCACUGGUCUUAGCGGGAGGGAAGCCUCACGAGCCUGUACACUUGGAGGAGCCCUAAGCGUUAGGAUCUGCUGCGAGGGCUGCCUGGAACGGAGGUGAGAGGAUACAAGUGGCCCGGGGCAAGCAUAGUGAAUCACUGGCUAAUCUGGCCUUCGAGGUAGUGAAAGGAAAAAAGGGAAAUGAAGCUGACUGUGGCUGAAUGUAGUAGGUCUUGAAGGCCAAAUGGGGCGAUCUGAUUUUUAUUCUAGAAGCAGAGGAGAAACUAAAGAUUUUUUUAGGAGACUAUAUUCAAGCUUGUAUCAUUAGUUCAUCAGACGUUUAUGGACCACCCACCGUCCGUGCACUCACGGGGCUUGCAGUCUAUCUGGCUGAAUCACUUUGGCAGCCAGUGUGAGGAGGGCACAGAAAGGAGACCAGGUGAGAAAGCCAGCCUGACCAAAGAAGAUGUGGCAACUGAUGGGAUUGGAGGAGGCGGACAAUGUCCUCCAGACAGCUGGACUGGCUCUCUAUAUAUUUAUUUAUCUCUUCUACACCUCCAGCCCCCACCUCCACACUCACUAACUGGACUCAACUAGUGGGGGCAAAGGACAGACUAGAUUUUAGUGAAAUGGAAUUUCUACCUCCAGCGGCCCCUGGAACAGUAGCACACAACGAUCUAACAACUGCUUGUAUGAUUGGAUGGUGUAAGUGCGGACAGAAUUAGGGAAUUUGGGCUACUCUGGGCACACUGCUUAUGGGGCAGCCCUGCUCCGCAAGGAAAAUAAACACAUUUUUUUAAAAAAAGGCCGGGCGCGGUGGCUCACGCCUGUAAUCCCAGCACUUUGGGAGGCCAAGGCAGGCGGAUCACGAGGUCAGGAGAUCGAGACCAUCCUGGCUAACACGGUGAAACCCCAUCUCUACUAAAAAUACAAAAAAUUAGCCGGGCGUGGUGGCGGGCGUCUGUAGUCCCAGCUACUCGGGAGACUGAGACAGAAUGGUGUGAACCCGGGAGGCAGAGCUUGCAGUGAGCCGAGAUCGCACCACUGCACUCCAGCCUGAGCAAUAGAGCAAGACUCUGUCUCAAAAAAAAAAAAAAAAAAAAAAAAAAGGCCGGGUGCGUUGGCUCACGCCUGUAAUCCCAGCACUUUGGGAGGCUGAGGCGGGCAGAUCACCUGAGGUCAGGAGUUUGAGAACAGCCUGGCCAACAUGGUGAAACCCCGUCUCUACUGAAAAUACAAAAAUUAGCCAGGCAUGGUGGCGCAAGCCUGUAAUCCCAGCUACUCGGGAGGCUGAGGCAGAAGAAUUGCUUGAACCUGGGAGGCGGAGGUUGCAGUGAGCCGAGAUCAAGCCACUGCACUCCAGCCUGGAGUGCAGGGCAAGACUCCGUCUCAAAAAAAAAAAAAAAAGGGAAUUCGGAGACCAGCCUGGGCAACACAGUGAAACCCCAUCUCUACUAAAAUACAUUUAAAAAAAAAUUAGCUGGGCAUGGUGGUGUGCGCCUGUUGUCCCAGCUACUUGGGAGGCUGAGGCAGGAGAAUUGCUUGAACCUGGGAGGCAGAGGGUGCAGUAAGCCGAGAUCAUGCCACUGCACUACAGCCUGGGCAACAGAGCAAGACUCGUCUCCAGAAAAAAAAAAAAAAAAAAAAAAGAUGUUCAUAAAUGGUAGGAUAGGCUGGGGAUGGAGGCUCACACCUGUAAUCCUAGCACUUUGUAAGGCUGAGGCAGGCAGAUCACUUGAGCUCACAAGUUCGAGCCUGGGCAACAUCGUGAGACCCCGGCUCUACAAAAAAUACAAAAAAUCAGCUGGGCAUGGUGAUGCAUGCCUAUAGUCCCAGCUACUCUGGAGGCUGAGGUGGGAGGAUGACUUGAGCCCAGGAAGUGGAGGUUGCAGUAAGCCAAGACUGCGCCACUGCACUCCAGUCUGAGUGAUAGAAACCUUGUCUCUAAAUAAAUAAAUAAAUAAAUAAAUAACUCCACAAAUGGUGGGAUAUAGCUAUGUGAAAGUUUAGUCCUAGAGUUUAGGUAAGAGGUCUGAGCCAAAGUACAGAUAUGACCCAGCCUAUUAGUACCCAUCCUUGAAAGGAAAUGGCAGAAUUCACUGUUUAAAAGGCUCCAACACUAAGGUCCUAACUGAUCUGGUCCCUGCCUUGUCCUCUCAUUCUACCUGUGACACUCUCCUGGGCCCCACCCAGUGCUUUAACCAUUCCCCGAGGAUGUCAGCAUCUUUCAUACCCCCCUCAACCCUCAAACCUUGCCCCCUGGCUCAGCACAAGGAACAGUCAGGUCUCCUAGGCAGUAAAUCACUCCCUCCUCUUGCUCCCACAAUUGUAAUUAUAUGCUUAUCUGCAUCGCAAAACUAUAAGCUCCUCUCAGCAUGGGCCAUGUUUUGUCAUCUCUGUAUCUCCAGCAUCUGGCCCGUUAUCUGGUACUCAGUUGGCCCUCUACCUUUGUUGAAUGAAUGUUAGUGUGAAUGGGAUGACGUGGGAAAGGAAGAGAGGCCAAGGGAACCAGAGUCAAGUGGAGAGGACAAUAAGAAUUAGAAAGCCUUUCCAUUUCCCUUGGGAACAGUAUCACUGAGUCCAUAAAUAUUUAUUGAAAGCCUGUGUUCCAGGUAUACUCUAAUGACUUCAGGUUCACACCUGACUCCAAAGCCAUGAGUUUAAAUGUUCCAAUUAGUACCUGUGUGACCUUAUGUAAGUUGCUGAACCUCUAUAAAAUUGGAGCAAUAAGAGUUCCUAUCUCAUAGGAUUGCUGUAAAGACUGAAAGAGAUAACACAUGUAAGGUGUUCAGCACUGUUUCUGUCUCAACAUUUAAUGGACAAGGUGGGAAAGUGCCCAAAGUAUCAGGAAGGUACAUACUUAUAUGUAGAUUCAUGAGCAUUCUUUUAAUAAUCUUUCCUAAACAGUUACUGUGUGCAAACCACUGUUGUGAGAGCACUAUUGAGAGAUUUUGGAUUAAAUGUCCAUCAUAAGAGUGCACUAGAGACAAAGCAGACUAUUAUAGAUGAUGAAACUGUCCCAGAGGCCAAACACAGCAGUGAUAGGAAACUUCAACUGUGUUUUUAUUUACCUGGACCACAUUUGUAAAUGACCAUGGCAGGCCCUCAAUAAAUGCUGACUGACUACAUGAAUGAACAUGCUCAAAGACAGUUGUUCAGCUCUUGUCCCAGGUUCUAUCAUACCCCUCUCCCCCUUCCUGAGUUUCUUUUGUUCAGUUUGGCAAACAGUGAAUGGAUGUUUGCCAAAUAUUUGAGGAUGCUCAAAUAUCUGAUAUAGACCACUUAGCCCCAAAUCCUACCAAAUGGCAUCUUCAUGGCCCUGGGGUUCCUGCAAAACACUCAGUCUGAUGGAAAAGACAGACAUAUAGAUGAGCAAUUAUAUAUGUGGUGAGUGUUCCCAUAGAGAUAAACCCAGAGGGUUAUGAAAGCACUGGGGUGCGGGGGCACCUUAACUCAGUAUGGAGGCUAAUUCUUAAAGGUGAUGCAAAAAUGACACUUAAUUGAGCAUUAAAGGUCACUUUCUAGGCCGCGUAAGGUGGCUCAUGCCUGUAAUCCCAGCACUUUAGGAGGCUGAGGUCGGUGGAUCACCUGAGGUCAGGAGUUCGAGACCAGACUGGCCAACAUGGUGAAACCCUGUCUCUACUAAAAAAUACACAAAAAUUAGCCAGGCCUGGUGGCAGGCGCCUGAAAUUCCAGCUACUCAGGAGGCUGAGGCAGGAGAACCACUUGAAGGCAGGAGGCGGAGGUUGCAGUGAGCUGAGGUUGUACCACUGCACUCCAGCCUGGGCGACAAGAGCGAGACUCCAUCUCAAAAAAAAAAAAAAGAAAGAAAAAAAAGGACACUUUCUAGGAAGCAGGGAAAGGCAUUCUAAGUGGAGCGAAGCAUGUAUGUGAAGGCAUAGAAGCAAGAGAUGUGGCGGGUUUGGGAACGCUAAGUAGUUUGGUAUGACUCCAGUUCAGAGGGCAUAUGGGAGGGCAAGAAAGGUAGGCAUGAGUCAGUUUAUGAAGAGCCUUGUAUGCCACAGCAAGAAGACUGGAUUUUAUUCUGUAUAUGUUUUUCAGCCCUGGCUGCAACUAGAAUCAACUGGGGAGCUUUUAAAAUAUCAGUGCCUGGCUCUCACCUCCAGAUUGAUGCUAGAUGGUUGUUCUUAAUGGGAAGAGGCCAAAGCAUGUUUAUAUGCUGUAUGGAGAGUGACAAUGGGAUCCAGCAUACACAUGAAGAGAGUAGCCUCUGGCUAAGGAGAACGGAAAUAGAGUAAGUUCGUCAGUGGAAUGGGAGGAAAUUGAGGGAGUUUUGUCUAAAGGAGUCUAUUUUUUCCUUCAGUCAGAUGUUAGGUAGUUGCUGAACAUGGGGGAUGGGUAGGUGAUGGGAUAAAGAAUUGUAGGGAAGUGGUUCACUCUGGAGUAACUGAUGAUGGAAUGCUGGGAAAGCUUAGUGAACAGCUAAGUGGAAGGCCCCACUGGGUGGGAGACCAUAAGGAGUGUACCAGUUUAGAAGGCUGUGAUGUUUUCCGCAGAGCUAAGUGAGUGGGAGUCAGGAGAGCAGAAAUAGGACCAUUUGGGAUCUGCAGGGAAGCGAGAUGGAAGGCCUUGCUUGGGAGAGGGUUCAGUGAAGGCUGAGUAGAUGAAACUAAACCAAGGGUACACUGAUAAACUGGAUAAACUGAAGAGGUCAAGGAACUCAUAGGUUUGAUAAGGAUGAAGGCCAGGUGUAGUGGGGAAAGAAAACCCAGUCCAACAACUAAAAUUCCAUCCAUUUCAUGGAGCCUUCCUGACUAAUGGGAAAUGAGGUGGCAACUUCCCCCAGGUCCCACCCUGUCUGACUCACUCCUCACUCACUGCUCUUCAAAGGGCCCGUCUCCAUCCUCUUUCUCAAGAAGAGAAACCAUGGAUGUUGUUUCUAAAAGUUCAGCCUGAAAACCACUGUCUGUAUGAACUCAAUUCCCAUGAUUUUUUGAGGCUUUAUAUGUUUCAGCACAAAUAUUAAAUGGAGGUAGGAUAGAGAAGCAGAAAUGGCAAUGAGGAAAAAAAUGGAAAAAGGUAUGCCUGCAUGUUCAUGAGUGAGUCAGCAGAAGAGUGGAGGGAAAAGACAAUAAGACACGGGGUAUCAGCUAUGAAUAGGAACUGAAGGUCCAGAUUGAAGGGCAACAGAACUGGCAGGUGGAGAUGGAAGCAGCCUCCUGGGGGCUGUGUCAAGCUUCUCCAUUCUCCAUCCUGUAAAGGACAAAGGACACUUCCUACACAGUACCCACACAGAAGAGCUGAUGGGAGGGUUAGCCUGUGAGGACGAGAGAGUGAAGAUGAGGGCAAAGGGUUUGCCAGUUAAUAAUUCUGCAUGUUUCUUGGGCCCCAGCCAGCUAGCUGGUAUCCUCUUCCAAAGCAGGCUGGGACCUUGGCUGAAGGAACCAGGGCUGGAAAGACAUCGGGCUGGCAGAGGGGAGAGACUGCAUGCAAACAUUCUUUGUAUCUUCUGCAAUUUGAGAGUUGGCCUGGAACCCUGAAAGUCAGGGCCAAUGUCUGAUCCAUCAGUGGGUAACCAGUGCCUACAUACUAUGGGUAUCAUUCACUGUUCAUUGAACUGAACAAAAGAAACUUAGGAACGGGGAAAGGGAUGUGAUAGAACCUGCAGGAAAAGCUCCGGAGAGAAAGGAGAGGCUUUUUGUUAGGGGGCAAACCAGGGGAUGCUAUCAAGAUGGAGGAAAGGGAGUUAGCAAGAUCCAGAAGACACGUGAGAAGGACCAAGAGGGGAAUGAGAAGCUUAUAAUUCUAUUAGUACUUUUUCUGGCAAGGAUGAAGCCAGCUGCAUUCCCUAUGUUCGAAUGUUUCCAUCCUGUCAGGUAAGUUCUAUGAUCACCUCUUAAUAGAUAAAAAAAAAACUGGAAUCAGAGGUUGAAGGCUUUGCUCAAGGUCACAGACCGGGUAAGGUGAAAGCAACACAGGUGUUUCAGGCUGAGGAAAAAGCACAGACAAAGGAAUGGAUAUAGGAAAACACAGGACAGGUAGAGAAUUGCAAGGGAUUCUGUUUGGCUAAAGCAACAGUCCCCAACCUUUUUGGCACCA
rnacentral:lncRNA from 1 species